rnacentral:tRNA from 1 species
GCCGAGAUGUUGGAAUUGGUAGACAACGGGGACUUAAAAUCCCCUCCCCGCAAGGGGGUACGAGUUCGAGUCUCGUUCUCGGCA